AGAGGAGCUGGGAGGAGCCAGCAGGGCUAAUGAAUGCAGCCAUCUUUGAAGAGCUUCCCCCUCAGUGAGAUUAAGCAUCUUUUUCAUUUUACAUAAGCAGUCUACCAACGUUGGCAGAUCCAUCCCAUGCUAAUCUGAGUGUGCUUCCAUGUCCCUACUGGUUCUUAACCCUCCCAGAUGCCAUCCUGUAUUCUUAACCCUGACCUUUUGGGUAUAUUUUGUUUCUUUGGGUAGACCCAACAAUUUUGCUCUUUGUGUUUGGCGUAUAAUUUAUAGUGCCUGUCAAGAUUCACAGACCGUAAUUAUUCAAGAAGUAUAUUUCCACUGUUCGGCAGAAAUGCCCACAUAACUAGUGUCAUGCCUUUGUCGUGCAGUUUAGAUUACAAAGAUGGUAUUCUGACAAAUAGAGGAUCUGGGCACCAUGUAAUUAUGCAUUUGGUGGAGGGUCAGACACAUUCUUUAUGUUUGUAGAUUUCAGUGUUUUUUCUUUUUCUUUUUUUUUUUUUACAAAGAUUCUUACAUUAAGAGGCUAACAUUCUAUUGUACACCCUUGAAGUGCUUUUUUUCACAUGUCACAUAUUCACUAUUAGGACUUAGGACUCAGAAGGGCAAAAAGCACAUUUGCUUUUGUUCCUCCUCAAUGUUCAGUUCCGUUCCGUGUGUGCGUGCUAGCGUGCUUCUCUUUGAUAGGCACCUCUGUGGAGAGGCAGCAAGACUGAGAGCACUGGGGUCAGGAACCCUGGGCCCUUGUCCUGUCCACUGGCUCAGGGACUUUGAGCUAAUUCUGCAGUCAAGGCCUCAGCUACCACGUCUACAAAGUGACUAGUAGAUCACCGUGUUUCCUCCGCCUCUAACAUUUCACAGGUUCUUUCCCCCGUGUUUGUAAAUUACAGCACUCAUUAUAACCUAGUGAGAGCAUAUGUGUGGAAGAACUCAGGUUUUUUGAAGCUAGAUGCAUGAUUAAAUGAAGAUAUUGAUACUUGAGGCUUAAUUACAAUCAGUUAAAGCAAGGCUUAAGGUGUAGUUCUGAGAGUGUCUUUCUGGUAGUUACAGACGCAUUUGUGUGUGUGUUCAGUUGCUCAGUCAUGUCUGACUCUUUGCGACCCAUGGACUGUCACUAGACUCCUCUGUCUGUUUGAAUUAAGAAACCUCACACUGAAUCAGCCUUCGAAGAACUUGAGAAUGAGUCAGUGGCCAGAACCGUGUUCUCUGCCGUGUCCGGGGUCGCCUGCCUGCUUGAGUUUGUGUGGAGCAAACUGUAAACUGCAGUGUCUUCUGCGGGGAGCGGAACAUCCGCUAGGACUGCUGGGGCUGCGGGCCAGGGAAGGCCUUGGUUGUAGAGAGCGGGCAUGUUGGCUCCACCCUGCUCUGAUGAUGAGUUCCUGUCCUGUUUGGGCCCAGGGUUGAUUAGUCAGGGUGAGGAAGAUUGCAAAACUUGAUGUAACUGAGAAGGAGACCUGGGAGGGGAUUUUGAA